GAUGAAGAACGCAGCGAAAUGCGAUAAGUAAUGUGAAUUGCAGAAUUCAGUGAAUCAUCGAAUCUUUGAACGCACAUUGCGCCCGCCAGUAUUCUGGCGGGCAUGCCUGUUCGAGCGUCAUUUCAACCAUCAAGCCCCCGGGCUUGUGUUGGGGACCUGCGGCUGCCGCAGGCCCUGAAAAGCAGUGGCGGGCUCGCUGUCACACCGAGCGUAGUAGAUUUUAUCUCGCUCAGGGCGUGCUGCGGGUUCCGGCCGUUAAACCACCUUCAUAACCCGAGGUUGACCUCGGAUCAGGUAGGAAGACCCGCUGAACUUAAGCAUAUCAAUAAGCGGAGGA
rnacentral:misc_RNA from 1 species